UACGGAGGGGGCUAGCGUUGUUCGGAAUGACUGGGCGUAAAGCGCGCGUAGGCGGGUUUUCAAGUCAGAGGUGAAAGCCCGGGGCUCAACCCCGGAACGGCCUUUGAUACUGUUGACCUGGAGUUCGAGAGAGGUGGGUGGAAUUCCGAGUGUAGAGGUGAAAUUCGUAGAUAUUCGGAGGAACACCAGUGGCGAAGGCGGCCCACUGGCUCGACACUGACGCUGAGGCGCGAAAGCGUGGGGAGCAAACAGG
rnacentral:rRNA from 1 species